AUGUCUCUGCCACCUCGAGGUAGAUUAUAAAAAUUGUAAUAUAUACAGUAAGCCCGCGGGAGUAUUCGAUCAAGGAGACUAUUGUUAGCUUCCUAAAUAUUAUGACAAUAAAGUUAAAUGUUAUAUUUUGUAUUAUCAAAACAUUUCAGUUAUAUAAAUGUUGCUGAGAGACCACCGCAUCUCAUUCACAUACGAACAGCCAGACGCGAUGGCCGCGCGCCUAAAUUAACAAGUGUACAGACAUGGGACGUUGUCACUAAUAUUUUGUAAACAUCCACAUGUCCUGUUCGUGCUGUAUAGUUAUGUUUUGAUAGACUAAUGGACCGAUUAACGAUAGUUCUCGUGCUGUGCGUUAUAAUUUUAGCGUCUGACGUCACAGGCCACGUUUUACCACGGCGGACAAACGCUACGAAAGAAACAGAAAAUG